AUGAAACUUUUGAUUCUUUUUACGUUUUUUGGCCACAAGGCACCUACGCGUCGCAGGAUCCGCUGCGGCUCGGUCACCCCUCCCUUCUUCUUCGUCACAGGCCCGUCCCUUGUCCUCCCGGGGUCCGGCGCGACCCGAGCCCCCUGUACCUCCCCGUCCCUCGUCCUGCCGGGGUCCGGCGCGACCCCAGCUCACUGUACCUCCCCGUCAGGCGUCCUCCCGGGGUCAGGCGCGACCCCAGCUCCCUGUACCUCCCCGUCAGGCGUCCUCCCGGGGUCCGGCGCGACCCCGGCCCACGGAACCUCCCCGUCGGGCGUCCUGCCGGGGUCCGGCGCGACCCCGGCCCACGGAACCUCCCCGUCAGGCGUCCUCCCGGGGUCAGGCGCGACCCCAGCCCCAUGUACCUCCCCGUCCCGCAUCCUCCCGGGGUCAGGCGCGACCCCAGCUCCCUGUACCUCCCCGUCAGGCGUCCUCCCGGGGUCCGGCGCGACCCCGGCCCACGGAACCUCCCCGUCGGGCGUCCUGCCGGGGUCAGGCGCGACCCCAGCUCCCUGUACCUCCCCGUCAGGCGUCCUCCCGGGGUCCGGCGCGACCCCGGCCCACGGAACCUCCCCGUCGGGCGUCCUCCCGGGGUCAGGCGCGACCCCAGCCCCAUGUACCUCCCCGUCCCGCAUCCUCCCGGGGUCAGGCGCGACCCCAGCUCCCUGUACCUCCCCGUCAGGCGUCCUCCCGGGGUCCGGCGCGACCCCAGCCCCAUGUACCUCCCCGUCCCGCAUCCUCCCGGGGUCAGGCGCGACCCCAGCUCCCUGUACCUCCCCGUCAGGCGUCCUCCCGGGGUCCGGCGCGACCCCGGCCCACGGAACCUCCCCGUCGGGCGUCCUGCCGGGGUCAGGCGUCCUGCCGGGGUCCGGCGCGACCCCAGCUCCCUGUACCUCCCCGUCAGGCGUCCUCCCGGGGUCCGGCGCGACCCCGGCCCACGGAACCUCCCCGUCAAGCGUCCUGCCGGGGUCUUGGCGCCGCGUUAGAAACCCAUUCUUUCGUAGCUCUCAUUGUGGCGUUCGUGUGCAGCCUUGUUCAUUGUGGCCAUUUGCUAAAUUUUCGUGCCCAGAGCGAGUCGCUGCGUGUGAAGAGCCAGUGGCAUCGAUGUUUCCACAGCGAGUCACUGAUCAGCGCGCUGCUGUUGGCAGGUUUAGUUGA
rnacentral:lncRNA from 1 species